rnacentral:rRNA from 1 species
UACGUAGGGGGCAAGCGUUGUCCGGAUUUAUUGGGCGUAAAGAGCUCGUAGGCGGCUUGGCAAGUCGGGUGUGAAAACUUCAGGCUCAACCUGGAGAUGGCACUCGAUACUGCCAUGGCUAGAGUCCGGUAGGGGACCACGGAAUUCCUGGUGUAGCGGUGAAAUGCGCAGAUAUCAGGAGGAACACCAAUGGCGAAGGCAGCACUCUGGGACGUGACUGACGCUGAGACGCGAAAGCGUGGGGAGCAAACAGG